UACAGAGGGUGCAAGCGUUAAUCGGAAUUACUGGGCGUAAAGUGUGCGCAGGCGGCCGCGCAAGUCGAGUGUGAAAUCCCCGAGCUUAACUUGGGAAUUGCGCUCGAAACUACGUGGCUGGAGUGUGGCAGAGGAAGGUGGAAUUCCACGUGUAGCGGUGAAAUGCGUAGAGAUGUGGAGGAACACCGAUGGCGAAGGCAGCCUUCUGGGCCAACACUGACGCUCAUGCACGAAAGCGUGGGGAGCAAACAGG
rnacentral:rRNA from 1 species